ACUUCACUGCACCCCAAGUGCUGAUUACCCUUAGUUUAGGGUAAACUAGUCGUUAUAUACCCUUUUCUCCAAAACCCCAAAUCAUAGCUUCUUGUGUUCAAGCUCACUGUUGAUUUGGAGAGCAUCUAGAAGAGUAGGUAAGUUUUUCCCCUCUCUGUGUUCUCUAUUCUCUCCUUUUACCUGUGAUUUGUCACUUCUAGGGUUUAUUUGAAUAGGAACCAAACCCUGAAUUAGAACCUCUGAGGAAUGCACCAGACGAAAACCCUAAACUAGAAGGGCUGCCUUACAAGAACAGUAUAAGCAAUGGAUAAGAGGAGUGGUGCUACUGCUAGGGCUUCUAGUAGUGCUACUAGUAGUGGUCCUGGUGCCACUAGUAGGGCUUCUAGUAGAGCUACUGGUAGUGGUCCCGGUUCUGUAAGGACUGCUAGUCGGAGUGUUGCCUCUAUCGGGGCAAGUACUAGAAGUCAAGCUGAUAUAAGAGCUGUCAGUAAGAGUACUGCCUCUGCUGGUGGAAGUGGUAGCACUCCAGGUGUUGCAAGGGCUACCAGUAAGAGUGUUGCCACUGCUGGGGGGUAGUAAUAAGACAUCACAGGAUGUUAGGGCAACUAGCCAUGGUGCUGCAAAUAUUGGUGAUACUUUCCAGUCUGGUUGUGACUUAGAUUAUGAGAAAGAUGAAAGUGAUUAUGAAUGCAAGGAUGAUAUUGAUAAAGAAUAUUGUGAUGGUGAUGAGCAGGAUGACUCAGCCCCUGAGGAGUUUAGGAGGAGAACUUCUUCUAUGAGGUGUGACAUAUGCAAAAAAGUGGGGCAUAACAAGAGAAUCUGCCAGAGAGCUCCAGUCAAAGAGAAAGGGGCAUCUUCCAGCCAGACAGCUGGUGUGAAGAGAGAGCAAAGGAAUGAUGAUGUGGAUGAAACCAACACCUUUCAGAGACUCACCAGGUCAAAAAUGGCAGAGAAGCUAGCAAAGAGAAAGGGAAGGAAAUAUGGCACAGGAGAAGGAGAGGGUGGUGCCCAUUGAAUCAUGUUGGAAAGUUGGCAUGGCUUCUUUUAGCAGAGAAGAAUGACAAUUUUGGCUGAAAUUUGAUUGUGACAUUUUAUGGGGUACUUUUUGGUUGUAAUAUUUGAUGGAGAAAACAAUUUGGUUAACUUGUUUCAUCAAUGUUGUCUACUUCGUUGUCUGACUAAUGUUGUUUAAAUGAAAUUUCAGUAAUGUUGUUUAAUUUCUUGUA